rnacentral:sRNA from 1 species
AUAGAUUGUGGGUAGAAUCAGAAGGCACAGAAGAGACUCCAUUACAAUCUUUGAGUUUCACACACAACCAGAUAUUUUUCUUGAGUUUUGCACAUAGUUGGUGUCACGUCAUGGAUAAAGACUUAUUAGAUAAAGACCUAUCACAAUGGUUUAUAAGUUUCAGCACACACAGUCCAGCUAGGUUUAGAGUCAUCGGGCCACUUCAGAACUUUGAGGAGUUUUCAGAAGUCUUUUCGUGUCCAGUUGGCUCCUACAUGAACCCGGAAAAGAAAUGUCACAUAUGGUGAUGGCAAAUGUCAAAAUGAUCUGAUUUAAAGUAAUCAAAUGGAUUGUUACAAUAUCAAUAAAAUGUUAAAUAAACAU